rnacentral:rRNA from 1 species
AUUGAACGCUGGCGGCAUGCCUUACACAUGCAAGUCGAACGGCAGCACGGGAGCAAUCCUGGUGGCGAGUGGCGAACGGGUGAGUAAUAUAUCGGAACGUGCCCAGUCGUGGGGAUAACGUAGCGAAAGCUACGCUAAUACCGCAUACGAUCUAUGGAUGAAAGCGGGGGAUCGCAAGACCUCGCGCGAUUGGAGCGGCCGAUAUCAGAUUAGGUAGUUGGUGAGGUAAAGGCUCACCAAGCCGACGAUCUGUAGCUGGUCCGAGAGGACGACCAGCCACACUGGACUGAGACACGGCCCAGACUCCUACGGGAGGCAGCAGUGGGGAAUUUUGGACAAUGGGCGCAAGCCUGAUCCAGCAAUGCCGCGUGCAGGAUGAAGGCC